rnacentral:lncRNA from 7 species
CCGAAGAUAAAGGUGCCCGCAAUGGAAUUGUCCUCGACGGUGGCCCCAAACUCGCCCCGCGCUCCUUCUUCUUCCUGGAGUACUGCUCUGGCGUGCGCGUGGUGGUAGGAAAGAUGGCCUGGGCAAUCCUGCUGUGCAGUUAUAUGGUUGAGCGGACCUCCCCCAGCUGGCCGGUUUCUACGAUGAUUAGUUGCAACAACCACGCCGCGGUGAGGGAGCGCAUUCAGCGGCUGGUAAGCGGACC